rnacentral:rRNA from 1 species
AUUGAACGCUGGCGGCAGGCCUAACACAUGCAAGUCGAACGGUAACAGGAAGAAGCUUGCUUCUUUGCUGACGAGUGGCGGACGGGUGAGUAAUGUCUGGGAAACUGCCUGAUGGAGGGGGAUAACUACUGGAAACGGUAGCUAAUACCGCAUAACGUCGCAAGACCAAAGAGGGGGACCUUCGGGCCUCUUGCCAUCGGAUGUGCCCAGAUGGGAUUAGCUAGUAGGUGGGGUAACGGCUCACCUAGGCGACGAUCCCUAGCUGGUCUGAGAGGAUGACCAGCCACACUGGAACUGAGACACGGUCCAGACUCCUACGGGAGGCAGCAGUGGGGAAUAUUGCACAAUGGGCGCAAGCCUGAUGCAGCCAUGCCGCGGGUAUGAAGAAGGCCUUCGGGUUGUAAAGUCCUUUCAGCGGGGAGGAAGGGAGUAAAGUUAAUACCUUUGCUCAUUGACGUUACCCGCAGAAGAAGCACCGGCUAACUCCGU